GGCAGGCAGACAAGCGGACGCGCACGGCAGAUGGGCGCGCGCGGCAUGGACGCGCGCGCAAGGCCAGUCGGACGCGCGCGCUACACUAGCGCGCGCGGGAAGCGGACACGGAGCGCGCGGAGAAGCAUCCGGGAACCUCUCGAAGGUUCCAGAAGAAUCGCGAGCGGCCGGGAAGGCUCGCGAACACGCGCGAAGGCGCGCGCGCGCCAGACGCACGCAGACGCGCGCGCGCGCGCGCGCGCGGAAGCCUCCAGAAGGCCUGCGCGCGCGCCAGACGGCCCCAGACGCUUCCAGAAGCUUCUGGACAGUGUCAUGAGCGCUCGGGAAUGUUCCAGAUUGCUUUUGCCGACCUUGUAAGGCGGUUUAGGGCUUGUAAAUAGAUUGUAUACUUCUAUAAAUACCCCAAAGGGGUCCAUUUGUACAAACAACACAGAAUCCUUGGGAAUUCAUCAACAAAGCUCUCUUAAGCAUUUUAUCAAACACCUUGUCUACAACUCUUUGCCUACUUCUUACCUACGAAUUUCCUUCUUCCUUAGUUUGUUCCAACAAGUCCAAUUACUCUUAGGCUUACAUUGGUGCAACCCCAACACCUUUGUGCCGCACGUUGGUUUGUGAUUAAAAUAACCACGUGACAGGUGGUAUCAGAGCGUGUUCGUUCAAAGGGACAUACUCUUGAUCGUUGCUAUCAAGUGCACGAUACCGAGAGACCAAGAUUCAAGACUCUAGUUCUUGAAACGUUGUCAAAGUAACGAAACACAGUUUCUACACCCACUUAAUCCCAGUUGACUUGUGAACAAGAUGUCCAGCGAAGAAGGCCACAUUUCAGCCCAAGCUGAGCAGGUUCUUGAAGGACCUAUCACACGAGGUAGGAAGGACCGACGAUCCCCGACCCGACGAUCGAAAUCUAAGGGUCCGGAUGCAAGGGAGCAUGUCGAAACUCGCCUUGCCAACCUUGAGCAAAGUCUCGAGGAUGUCCAGCACACGGUAGAAGAGUUGGGUGAUAACUACGAAGAGCUUAUUCAGGAGAAUGUGGAAAUCUCCGCAGCAACCAAGGAGCUCGUGGCCGACCUUGGAAAAACAUUCCAAAAGGAUUUGAAGGAGUUGUCAUCAACCGUAACCACUUUGAAGACAUUUGUUGAAGGUGAGUUACGCGAACUCUAUUCUAAGUAUAUUUCCCUAGAUGCAAAGGUAGAUACUCUUUGCAUGGAAUGUCGUUCCAAGCACUUUGGUGGAGACGGUCCAUCCACCAGUACACACGCCGCUGUGCAAGGCACUACUCACAUAAAAGUGCCGAAACCUGACACAUACAAUGGGGUGAGGAAUGCCACGGUUGUGGAAAACUUCCUCUUUGGCCUUGACCGAUACUAUGUAGCUGUCGGUGUUCGAGAUGAUGAGGCCAAGAUAAACAAUGCCCCGACAUUCCUAAGGGAUGCCGCACAACUUUGGUGGCGUCGAAGAUACGCUGACCAAAAUGGGAAUGCCAUCCAGACGUGGGAACAAUUCAAGGCCGAGCUAAGAAAGCACUUCGUUCCCCACAAUGCUGAAAUGGAGUCAAGAGCCAAACUUCGAAGGCUAAGACACACAGGUAACAUUCUCGACUAUGUGAAGGAAUUUACCACUAUUAUGCUUGAAAUUAGUGAUCUGCCCGAGAAGGAAGCCCUAUUCCAAUUUAGAGAUGGAUUGAAAGAUUGGGCCAAGGUUGAGCUAGACCGUCGCAAUGUCCAAACAUUGGACGAUGCUAUAGCCGCAGCUGAGAUGCUUAUCGAUUAUACAACCCAAUCAAAGGAGAGAAAACCUAGCCCAAGUAAACGUGAAGGCAAUCACUACAAGCAUAGAGACUCCGAGCAAAAGGAAAAGGGAAAGAAGGCAUUCCAAAGACAUGGCAAGUAUCACAAAACUCAACAAGGUGAGUCGUCCAAACCUUCUCCCUGUUUUGUUUGUAAUGGCCCUCAUCGGACAAGAGACUGUCCGAAUAGAAAAGCAAUGAAUGCACUUGUUGCCAAAUUGCUCGAGUCCAAGCAAGGAGAUGAUACACCACAGAUUGGUUCCUUGCAACACAUUGGAGCUCUGAAACAGGCCAAUCAAACAACUAAAGGAGGCCUACUCCAUGGAAAUGUAAAGAUAAACGGGAGAGAGGCUAUUGCCAUGUUUGACACCGGUGCGAGUCAUAACUUCAUGAACGUGAAUGAGGCUAAGAGAAUAGGCCUCAAGUUCACAAACGAAGAGGGGACUGUCAAGGCGGUAAACUCGGAAGCACAAGCCAUCAAAGGUGUAGCAAGAGGUGUAACAGUCAAGAUCGGUGAUUGGCAAGGUAAGCUCGACUUCACCGUGCUACCUAUGGAUGACUUUGACAUCGUGCUUGGCUUAGGGUUCUUCGAUAGAGUAAUUGCUAUCGUUGACUCCUCCGGAUGUACCCUGACGAUAGUGGAUGGUCAAAUAACGACCAUCCCACUAAAGAAGGGAAAACCAACAAUCAGAUUGUCAGCCAUGCUAAAUAAGGAGGGAGUCGCCGAAACCCAACAUCAAACAGUACCGUCGAGAGAGACAAAUUCUAAACCAACAGUCCCAACAGAACACAAGGACGUUAUGCUCGAGGCAAAGUCAGGAAACGCCGAUGCAGUCAAUAACGUCGUAAGCCAGAAGGCAAAACUGGCUGCUAUAACCACCAGCAUGUCCAGAAGUGACUUCCUUAACAGAAUCAAGGAACGGCACGAAGAAUGUGAUAUAUCAAGGGCAUGCCUGGCGAAGGCCGCCACUAAAAUGAAAAAGUGGGCGGACCGGAAAAGGAGGGCUAGAGAGUACCAAGUAGGGGAAAAAGUAAUGGUAAAGCUGCUACCAAACCAAUUUAAAUCCCUACGCAAGGUACAUAAAGGCCUAAUCCGAAGAUACGAAGGACCCUUCUCUAUCAUCGAGAAAGUGGGCAAAGCAGCUUAUCGAUUGGAACUUCCUCCCAGACUGAAGAUCCAUAAUGUCUUCCAUGUGAGCAUGUUGAAGCCUUUCUAUGAAGACAAGGAGGAUCCAAGCAGAGGUGAGUCCUCUCGUGCACCUACCGGCAUGAUCUCAGAGUUCGACAGGAAAAUCAAGGAGAUCUUAGCGGAGAGGAAGAUACGAAGGAGAGGAGUUCCCAGUUAUAACGAAUAUUUGAUUUGCUUUGGGAAGGACUACCCGAAAGCGAAGCAAGUUGGGAAAAGGAGGACACCCUAUGGCAAUUUCAAGAUGAAAUCAGGAAGAUUUCAAGAAAGCGCAACGGGGACGUUGCGAAAUCGAGUGGGGGAGGGUGUCACGCCCCAAAAAUGACCCAACAGAUUUUUCGCAAAUUAAGGCUCCUUAGCAUUGCCCAAGAGGAGCCAACCAAGUCCCAAGCAGUCCAAAGACCCAAGGAAGAGAAGCAAGUUCACGCCAAGCCUAUGACACGCCAAUGUGCAGGAGAUUGGCGCGCGCGACCCUGUCAUGACAUGGGCGCGCGCGCGCGCAAGGGCGGCAGGCAGACAAGCGGACGCGCACGGCAGAUGGGCGCGCGCGGCAUGGACGCGCGCGCAAGGCCAGUCGGACGCGCGCGCUACACUAGCGCGCGCGGGAAGCGGACACGCGCACGCGCGCGGAGAAGCAUCCGGGAACCUCUCGAAGGUUCCAGAAGAAUCGCGAGCGGCCGGGAAGGCUCGCGAACACGCGCGAAGGCGCGCGCGCGCGCCAGACGCACGCAGACGCGCGCGCGCGCGCGCGGAAGCCUCCAGAAGGCCCGCGCGCGCGCCAGACGGCCCCAGACGCUUCCAGAAGCUUCUGGACAGUGUCAUGAGCGCUCGGGAAUGUUCCAGAUUGCUUUUGCCGACCUUGUAAGGCGGUUUAGGGCUUGUAAAUAGAUUGUAUACUUCUAUAAAUACCCCAAAGGGGUCCAUUUGUA
rnacentral:lncRNA from 1 species